GUCGUCCGCGGCGCCGCGCGCGGUACAACGCGGACACGAGUGUGUGAUUUGUUGAGCGAUACUUAUCGAAUCCCGAUACGGUACAAUAUUUUAAUGGAAGACCGUGGAUAAUGACGUUCCGGUAAAUACUUCGAGACGUACGAACAUGCUUUCAAAUAAUUUCCAUUCGCGCGUCGCGAUCACGGGGAAAUUGGAGAACAGGGGAACAGCAUUGAUGCAGAUAUGGAGGGCGGCUAACGAUUCUGGCCUGCUAAUGCUGGACACGUUUACACGCGGACAUCAUGUGUCAGUGCAGAUUGAACGCGAUGCGAAACCGGAGAAGCAGAGCAAAGCGUGCAUGCGGGAUUUGGGGAACUGACCGGAAGCAGCCGUGACCUCGAAGGUCGAAGGGUUACCACUCACGUUCCACGGUGACAAGGAACGCGAGUGGUAUCCUCCACGGAUCGGUUCGCCGUGAACAGGUUCGAGAAGAGGAAUCAACGUUGCCGAUACGCUGCUACUCACCGUCGUUGUUUGUUCGUGCACGUGGCGGCGAUGAGCUGGCCGUUGGGAAAUUUCGGGAGACGUUAUCCCUUGGCUGCGGUUGCGGCCCUUCGAGGUUCGGACUCGGGCUGAAUUCAGCCCUGAAAUCUGCCCUGUCGAAGCCCUCCUCGAACUCGUGAAUCAGAUCGAUUUCAUCUGGCUCGACGUCGCCCUCGUACUGCUCUCUUAACACUGCCCUCGGCACUGAAAUAUGGAACACAACCUUGGAUUAUUUACCGUCUAACGUGCGGGGAAAUUGCGCCGAAAAAUCACGCGGCAGGAACAAUUGGUAUCGUUGCCGUGUAACAAGAGCGUGCACGGCAAUGGAGUCUGCUCGAUGUUGAUUGCAGCGAAUGUAAAAUGGAACGGUACGUUGAUAUUUCAGAAACUGCGGUUAAUAGAAGAACAGCAAUAAUUCUCGCCGCGUUGCAAUUGUUAGUUCGCGCGAAAUUGUGGCAAAUAUCGAUUGUUAAGGUUGCGAAUUGUUCGGCGAAGUAGGACAUUUACAUUUUGGAAAUUAAAUUGAACUGUAUCGGAAUUCUGCAUCGAGUCAGUAUACGUGUGUGCUCUCUUAAGGAAAAUUAAUUAAAUAUACUGAUAGAAUCGUACUAAUUACAUUACGUAAUGAUUAAUUAAUACAACAGCUAUCGGUGUGUAUCGAGAGAAUAUUUUUAAAAAAGUAAUUAAA